AGACGUAAAAGUUGCAACAAAAAGAAAAAAAAAAGGCAAAGUCGAUCCCAGAUUUUUCUGUGUU
rnacentral:ribozyme from 11 species